AUGGGGGCCAUCGACCUCGGGAACCCGCUCCUCAACCGCACCGUCGACGGCUUCCUCAAGAUCGGCGCCAUUCAGAUGCUUUUUUGUGUGACUAAUCUGCAGGUGCUGUUGCUGGGGUACAAAUGUGACACGAAAUUAUCUUGGUUUCUUUGCAGGCCGGAAUGGGGCGUGGGAGAAGCUGCCGGCCGGCGGAUCUGUGUGAAAGCCACCAUUGAGAGGUACAAAAAGGCCAACAGUGACACAUCCAACUCUGGCACGGUUGCAGAAGUCAAUGCCCAGGUAACAUCAUGUCAUUCUUUCACUCUACAGCAAUUGCUUGAAUUGACACCCAAGAUGUGA
rnacentral:rRNA from 1 species